AUGACACCAUGACACCACCACACCAUGACACCACCACACCAUGACACCACUACACCAUGACACCCCUACACCAUGACACCACCACACCAUAACACCACUACACCAUGACACCACUACACCAUGACACCACCACACCAUAACACCACCACACCAUAACACCACCACACCAUGACACCACCACACCAUAACACCACCACACCAUAACACCACUACACCAUGACACCACCACACCAUGACACCACCACACCAUGGCACCACUACACCAACACACCAUGACACCACUACACCAUGACAACACCACACCAUGACACCACCACACCAUGACACCACUACACCAUGACACCACACCACCAUGACGCCACUAUACCACCACACCAUAACACCACUACACCAUGACACCACCACACCAUGACACCACCACACCAUGACACCACUACACCACCACACCAUGACAUCAUGACACCAUUACACCACCACAUGACACCUCCACACCAUGACACCACUACACCACCACACCAUGCCACCACCACACCAGACACCACCACACCAUGACACCACCACACCAUGACACCACCACACAAUCACACCAUGACACCACGACAUAACCAUGACACCACCACACCAUGACACCACCACACCAUGAAACCACUACACCAUGACACCACCACACCAUGACACCACCACACCAUGACACCACCACACCAUGACACCACCACACCAUGACACCCCUACACCAUGACACCACCACACCAUGACACCCCUACACCAUGACACCACACCACCAUGACGCCACACCACCAUGACGCCACUACACCAUGACACCACCACACCAUGACACCACCACACCAUAACACCACUACACCAUGACACCACUACACCAUGACACCACCACACCAUGACACCACCACAUGACACCUCCACACCAUGACACCACCACACCAUGCCACCAUGACACCAUCACACCAUGACACCACCACACCAGCACACCAUGACACCACCACACCAUGACACCACCACACCAUGACACCCCUACACCAUGACACCACACCACCAUGACGCCACACCACCAUGACGCCACUACACCAUGACACCACCACACCAUGACACCACUACACCAUGACACCACCGCACCAUGACACCACCACAAUAUGACACCAUGACAUCAUAACACUACCACACCAUGACACCACCACACCAUGACACCACCACACCAUGACAUCAUGACACCAUUACACCACCACAUGACACCUCCACACCAUGAC
ensembl:lncRNA